GAAUAAGUGUCUAUGAGACUAGUACUAUUAGAGAGAUUAACAGGGAGUGGAGGCCGUGACUGGAAGCCUUCUUAAGGGAACUAUUAGGAAUUCACUCAGCUAAAGACAAUUAAUUAAGGUCUGAUGACAUCAGAUAAAAACGGAUGGUACCGCGUGUCAACGCUCCGCUG
rnacentral:misc_RNA from 1 species